AGCGAACGCUGGCGGCAGGCUUAACACAUGCAAGUCGAACGGGCACUUCGGUGCUAGUGGCAGACGGGUGAGUAACGCGUGGGAACGUGCCUUUCGGUUCGGAAUAAUCCAGGGAAACUUGGACUAAUACCGGAUACGCCCUUCGGGGGAAAGAUUUAUCGCCGAAAGAUCGGCCCGCGUCUGAUUAGCUAGUUGGUGAGGUAAAGGCUCACCAAGGCGACGAUCAGUAGCUGGUCUGAGAGGAUGAUCAGCCACAUUGGGACUGAGACACGGCCCACACUCCUACGUGAGGCAGCGGUGGGGAAUAUUGGACAAUGGGCGCAAGCCUGAUCCAGCCAUGCCGCGUGAGUGAUGAAGGCCUUAGGGUUGUAAAGCUCUUUUGUCCGGGAAGAUAAUGACUGUACCGGAAGAAUAAGCCCCGGCUAACUUCGUGCCAGCCGCCGCCGUAACAC
rnacentral:rRNA from 1 species